UGAGUCAACAUGAGCCUAGCUCUUUAGGUGGAUUAGUGGCGAACGGGUGAGUAAUACGUGAGUAACCUACCUUUAACUCUGGGAUAAGCCUGGGAAACUGGGUCUAAUACCGGAUGACCAAUCUCCGCAUGGUGUUGGAAAGUUAUGUAGAUAGAUGGGCUCCGCCUAUGGCUUGUUGGUGGAGGUAACGGCUCACCAAAGGGCGAACGACGCCGCCUGAGAGGGACUGAGACACGGCCCAGACUCCUACGGGAGGCAGCAGUGGGGAAUAUUGCACAAUGGGCGCAAGCCUGAUGCAGCGACGCCGCGUGAGGGAUGACGGCCUUCGGGUUGUAAACCUCUGUUAGCAGGGAAGAAGAGAGAUUGACGGUACCUGCAGAGAAAGCGCCGGCUAACUACGUGCCAGCAGCCGCGGUAAUACGUAGGGCGCGAGCGUUGUCCGGAAUUAUUGGGCGUAAAGAGCUUGUAGGCGGUUUGUCGCGUCUGCUGUGAAAGGCCGGAGCUUAACUCCGUGUAUUGCAGUGGGUACGGGCAGACUAGAGUGCAGUAGGGGAGACUGGAAUUCCUGGUGUAGCGGUGGAAUGCGCAGAUAUCAGGAGGAACACCGAUGGCGAAGGCAGGUCUCUGGGCUGUAACUGACGCUGAGAAGCGAAAGCAUGGGGAGCGAACAGGAUUAGAUACCCUGGUAGUCCAUGCCGUAAACGUUGGGCACUAGGUGUGGGGAACAUUCCACGUUUUCCGCGCCGUAGCUAACGCAUUAAGUGCCCCGCCUGGGGAGUACGGCCGCAGGCUAAAACCCAAAGAAAUUGACGGGGGCCCGCACAAGCGGCGGAGCAGCGGUUAAUUCGCAACGCGAAAGAAUCCCUUACCAAGGCUUGACAUAUACUGGACCGCAUCAGAAGAUGGUGUUUCCCUUCGGGGCUGGUAUACAGGUGGUGCAUGGUUGUCGUCAGCUCGUGUCGUGAGAUGUUGGGUUAAGUCCCGCAUCCGGAGCGCAACCCUCGUUCUAUGUUGCCAGCGACGUUUAUGGUGGGGCACUUCAUAGGAGACUGCCACUGGGGGUCACUCGGAGAAAGGUGGGACGUAAAUCAUCUGCCCUUAUGCUUGGCUUCACCAUGCCAAUGGCGGCAGAGGGUUGAUACUGUGUGGAGCUAAUCCCUAAAAGCCGGUCUCAGUUCGGAUUGGGGUCUGCAACUCGACCCCAUGAAGUCGGAGUCGCUAGUAAUCGCAGAUCAGCAACGCCCAUGCGGUGAAUACGUUCCCGGGCCUUGUACACACCGCCCGUCAAGUCACGAAAGUUGGUAACACCCAAAGCCGGUGGCCUAACCCUUUUGGGAGGGA
rnacentral:rRNA from 1 species